rnacentral:rRNA from 1 species
GUCGAGGGAGAUUGUUGGAUUCGUCUGACAUGAAACCGGCGCACGGGUGCGUAACACGUAUGCAACCUACCUUUAACUGGGGUAUAGCUCAGAGAAAUCUGAAUUAAUCCCCCAUAAGACUACGACAUGGCAUCAUGAUGUAGUUAAAGCUCCGGCGGUUAAGGAUGGGCAUGCGGUACAUUAGCUAGUUGGUGAGGUAAUGGCUCACCAAGGCUACGAUGUAUAGGGGGUCUGAGAGGAUGAUCCCCCACACUGGUACUGAGACACGGACCAGACUCCUACGGGAGGCAGCAGUAGGGAAUAUUGGUCAAUGGACGCAAGUCUGAACCAGCCAUGCCGCGUGAAGGAUGAAGGCCCUAUGGGUCGUAAACUUCUUUUAUUAGGGAAGAAGAAAUGGGAUGCGUCCUAUACUGACGGUACUUAAUGAAUAAGGAUCGGCUAACUUCGUGCCAGCAGCCGCGGUAAGACGAAGGAUCCAAGCGUUGUCCGGAUUUACUGGGUUUAAAGGGUGCGUAGGCGGAAAAUUAAGUCAGUGGUGAAAGCCCGCAGCUCAACUGUGGAACUGCCAUUGAAACUGGUUUUCUUGAAUAUAGCUGAGGCAGAUGGAAUAUAACAUGUAGCGGUGAAAUGCUUAGAUAUGUUAUAGAACACCGAUUGCGAAGGCAGUCUGCUAAACUAUUAUUGACGCUGAGGCACGAAAGCGUGGGGAGCGAACAGGAUUAGAUACCCUGGUAGUCCACGCCCUAAACG